AGUUCGCGGGUUGCUUCUUCCGUCCCGCAUCCCUUCUCAGUGUUCUGCCGCAGGUUGCGUCGUGCGCCGUGUUUUCCGCCAGUCCGUAGCUUCCGUUUUGAUUUACGUUGUUGUAAAUUCGAUUCUCAACGACUCGAGUUGCUCCAUAAUCAGCUGACUUGCGUCAUGACUUAUCGCUCGCGUGUUGCGUUCUACAACCAAAUGUUGUUUAUCUAUCGUCUCCUGUGAAUUUGGAUUGUCAAUUCGUGAAUGUGUUCAUCAAUGUUUCCGAUUAUAAUUCUUCCAAGUGAAUCGUUUCGUUUCUAAUCGGGUGUGUCAAUAAAAAGCAAUCAUGUUUUCGGGAAUUACAAAUCAGAUGAGCAAUUGGGUGGGAAGUGUGGCUAAGAAAUCAGAUUCUGAAGUGAAAGAAGAUGAAAAACCUACUUCACCCACCGCGGUCGCUGCCGCUGAAAAUAUCGAGAAUGUAGAGGCAGCCAAUCCAGAAGAAGCCAAGAAAGAAACCAGUCCGACGAAAGUGAACAGUAAACUAGAAAUGUUAGGGAACGUAAAGAGUCAAAUGUCGAGCUGGCUCGGCGGCGGGAUUCAGCUACCGAGUCUCCGGAAGACGGAAACAGAAGCCGCAGCCGAAGAAGGCGGCGCCGAGGCCAAGCAGAGCGCCGAGGCAGCAACCGACGAAAAGGCCAUCCGGGAGUCCAUGGAGAAGGACGAUGACAACUCCAGUGCUACUGGAGGAGCCGACAGCGAUGCUCAUUUGUCCGACCUUGAGGGCGAAGAAGAUAAAGAUGGAGCCUUUGGAGGUGGCGUUGUCGGUGCCAAAGCAGUGCAAGGCGCUAAGUCGAUAGGAAGCUUCCUUUUCUCUGCGGUUAACAAAGCGGGGAAAACUGUCAGUGAAGCAAGUGCCAAAAUAAAGAAAACGGUCGAAGAAAACAGUAUAUUGGGAGAAUUCAACAAGGAGCAGGAGUCCUUCAUCAAAGAGAAGGAGGGCAAAGGCAGCGACGGAGCAGCCGUUCCUCCCUGGGUCGGGUGCCCCAACGAAGAGAAUCUCAAACAGGAGUGUCUGUCCCUAUCCACGGAUCGCAGGAAUUUCGUGCGACCUCCUCCCGCUGGCGUGGACUUUGAAUUCGACUUUGAAUCUUUCUAUCCUGUCGCUCAGGCAAUAUUAGCUGUUGAUCCCGAACUUGAAAAAAUGAGAUUUGAACUUGUCCCCAAAGUAAUAAAUGAGGAAAACUUCUGGCGUAACUAUUUUUACCGUGUGAGUUUAAUUUGCCAAGCAAAUGAACUGUCAUCUAUGGCUCAAGAAGGCCAACAAAAUGCUGCCAACGCCUCUCAAGAUGCGGACGAACCCAAUGCAGCUUAAAGCAUUAUCCUAAAAAGACUUAAUUCCACCCUUAUUCCUUAGUUUACCCUUUAUUUUUAUUAUUUGUUCUGUUUCCUUGAUUUCAAGAAAUGUAUUGAUGAAAUUAUUUAGUAAAUGUUACAUUAAUUCAUGAUCCACAACACCUUUUGAAUUACAUUCCUGCUCUUGGGAAUCAUGUUCAUUUCUUCUUCUCUUGACUGAAUUAAACUAAACAGAACUGCCAUGCAGUCUACAUGAUUCUGUAGCCUCGCUGAAAAAUAAAAUAAUAAAAUUAAAUAAAUCCAGAAUCCAUCUGAAGACAUGAAAUGAUUUUUUGUGAUCUCUUUUUUAAUCUCAUUCUUUGGACAGAACACAAUUUUGCGUCAAAUUCUGAGAUGACGUCUGUCUCUUGUCCAAAAUAAUUAUUUUCAAAAUCAGCAGAAGCUGUACUUUUCCAAAAGAAACUGCAUGAUGUCUGUUUCUUUUUUAAAGAAUGACUUUCAAAAUCAGUUGGAGUCUUACUUUUCAAAAUACUCGCUCAGCCCUUUUGUGGAUUGAUCAUUGUUCAGAAUAUUGAAAUUUUUUAUCGCGUCAGUCUAUAAUUUAUCAUUUACUGUAUUGAUAUACUGAUGGCACAGGAGCUUUUGUCAGAAUCUAAUAUUGAUCUCUUGAUCAGUAAUUUUUAAAUAAAGCUUCUCAUUCGUACAGUUUAGAAUCACUCAUCAUUACACUGAUCUUGACAAAAAAAAAAAUAGUUCAUCUACCUGUCGUUUUUCUAUGGCUGUGUGGUAAUUUUAUACAUGCAAUACUGCUUAAGGAUGGAAGAUUGUCACAUGCAUCAAUAUGUGUAGAAAUUUUUCUCAUCAGAGCGAUUUUGCAACAUUCUAAAUUUAAAUCUAGUCUGUUUGUCUAACGUUGUCAGUUCUCCAUAAAUUAUUUUUAAAAUUCUUUGACUGAAGAUGGCAAUAAAGAUUAUUUCUGAUGUCUACACACACAUUUUAAUUAAACUUAAUUUUCUAAGUCUGAGACUUGCACUCCAGUAAAAGGAUAUUUUCUGUGUUUGAAGACGAUUGAAAACUGUUCUUACGUAACCAAAAAUCCUGACUCCAGCCUCUUUCAGAGUAACAGGAGUUGAUAUCAUGAAUAUUUUUAUCGAACCCUGUAGAAAAAUGUUACAUCUCAGCUGACUGCUGUUUGUUUGCCACCACUUAAAAUUUCGUACAUACUUACCACUGCAUGCAUAUAAAAAUGCAUUAUUUUAUAUUUGUCCUAUUUUUGGGUGCAAUUAUCAAGUCAAUCCCCAAUCGUCUUAGAACUCACCUGAUGAGAUAUAUGGAGUUUAUAAAAAUGAAAAAUAAUAUGCCAAGUUAAUUUAACGACUGAUACUUUACAGAACUAUCUCAGUAACGACUAAUGCAACUUGUUCUAAUUUGCACCCGAAAGUUGAGCUCAUCCUUCCAUACUGAACUUGAUUUUAUACUCAUAUACCAACAUUAAAUUUUAGAUUCAAUCCCUAAUUUCAUCGCAAGUCUUUGCAAUAAUGCGUGCAUUGAAAUUAUUUUAUUUUUAAUUGCUCUAACGUUUCUAACAAGUGGAAAUUCCUUUAAUUUUCAAAAGAAGGUGUCCUUUCACCUUUGUCACGUCAUUUCAUCAAUUCAAUUAUGAUUUCUAGAUUGGUAGUUGUACAUUUAUGUUCCACUUUUACAGUGGAAUUGUGUUAUUAUUUUUAUUUUGUUCUAUUUUCUUUUUUCUUUGUUUUUUUUCUCAACCUCCCUUCCUCUUUCUCCUUCCCUCAUCACUUAUAAUUUUUCCCUUUUAACCCUCUCAAUCCUUGGUCCUUAACAUAAACAAACAGAAGAGGAAUGGGAGAAGGAGCUUGAAGCCGAGUUGCAAGAAUAUGAAGUUGUGUCAGAACAGCAAAAACAGAACACUGCCAUUCCAUCCAAGUGGGAAUCACAGAUUGAAGACAUGCUGGAAUCUGAGUCCCGUGAUUUAAAAUAAGAGAUGCACCGGAUUCCUAUGGAAGGAGUAAAAAGUGUUCCUCUUUGGGAAAUAGCACAGGGAAUAACGAAAGUCUCAAUCUAAAAGGUACCAUGCUGCAACAAUAAAAUCUCACCGUCUACUUACUUAUUACAAAUAUCAUCAUUUUCUAUUUGUUUAAUUACGUGAGGAUCACCCCGGUGAGUUAAUUUAGUAAUUAAAGAAAAAUAUUCUAAUGAACUUUUAUAAUAUAUUUAUGUUUUCUAUUUUAUUUGUUGUUAUUGUUGUGAAAACAAUUUAUUUUGUUUUAAGUGAGUCCUAAGUACACACACUGUUAAAGAGAAGGUUUAAGGUAGGUACUUACCUCUUCAGCUGUAAUACCUUUCAAUAUUAUUUGUCUCAUGCAGUCAUAUCUCAAAAUAUCCUUCUCACUGUAAAAUAAUUAGCUAGAACUUGUGAUUAGAGUGUCAUUUUACAAAGAGGCAGUCAGCAUACUUUUUAAAAUUUAUAAAACCCCUAAAUAUUUACUCUCUCAUUCUGAAAUGAAAAAGCAUUUGAAACUUGAUUGCUCUGAAGCCACCACUUAUGUAAUUUACCUAUCAAAACCUUGUAGUCAGUUAAAUCAUUGAAUUUAUUUCUCACCUCAGAAACUUCCUAUUAACUCUCAAGUCAAAUGAUUUUUGCUGUUCAAUCUUGGCUUUUGACCUCCUGUAAAUAAAGUAAAGUAAGUUGGUAGAGUAGGUACCUACAUUAUAAUAUUAAACUCGAUUAUCAUAUUAAAUUGUGUACUUACAUUAUGCAUUGCAUGGAGUGUCUCAAAAUUAUACCCUGAAGUGUGUAAUUUUGGAAGUAAUGGAAGAAUAAAUAUCACUCAUAUUGAAGCAUUCAUAAGCAUAUUACUGAUGCUUUUCAUGCAUGAUCACAGCAGGGAUCGAAUAUUUUUCUCAAUUGUCUGUUAAUUCCUCCGUGAAUACUGUCAAAUGGGGUUACCUGGGAAAUUAGUUUAUUUGGAACAAAAAUGGGAAUUUGGGCGUCGGUGGCCAUGGUAGCAUUGUAAUUUUAGAUUGUUCCUCAGCGUCGUAAUCUCUAUCCACAUUGUUUUGGUAUGAGAUUUAGGUAUUAUGCAGAGUCUUGAAAAGGAAACAAAAGCAUUUGUCUCUUCAUCUUUUUUCUCAAAAUCGCUUGACUCUCAUCAGUAUCUUAAGUUACCGUGUAAGUCCUUAUUCACCCCUAUGUUCGGGGUCAUUGAAAUAACCAAAA